GUUGUUCUUUUGCUAAUAUUCGAAGUGAGCCACGUAUGUUUGGGUUGUUCACAAUGUAAUUUAAUUAUUUUUGAAAAUAAUAUGUUACUUUUUGAUAUACGUUCUUGUUUGGAUGUUGUAGUCGUGUAUUUGGUGUCUUUUCUGGUAAAUAUAUGCAACUGUCAGCAUAAACAGGUUUGUAUGGGAUAUAUAGUACCGAUGGCCACCGAUCGAUAUGCGGCAUGCCGAUAUGGCCAUAAGCCCAUAACUAAACAUUUUAUAUAUAAAUCAG